rfam:Salegentibacter echinorum strain DSM 24579 genome assembly, contig: Ga0131147_104
UAUUUAAGGGAAGGAUUUGACUGAUUGCAACCCUGAAAUAUGCAUAAAUGCGUAUUAAAAAUGCUAAAGCAGUAAUA